rnacentral:rRNA from 1 species
AGAGUUUGAUCCUGGCUCAGGAUGAACGCUAGCGGCAGGCUUAACACAUGCAAGUCGAGGGGCAGCGCGGUAGUAGCAAUACUACUGGCGGCGACCGGCAGAAGGGUGCGUAACACGUGAGCAACCUGCCCGUGACAGGGGGAUAACCGGCGGAAACGGCGACUAAUACCCCGUAACAACAAAGGAGGCAUCUCGUUUGUUUGAAAGAUACGUCAGUCACGGAUGGGCUCGCGGUACAUUAGCUGGUUGGCGGGGUAACGGCCCACCAAGGCGACGAUGUAUAGGGGUUCUGAGAGGAAGGUCCCCCGCACUGGAACUGAGACACGGUCCAGACUCCUACGGGAGGCAGCAGUGAGGAAUAUUGGACAAUGGAGGCAACUCUGAUCCAGCCAUGCCGCGUGAAGGAAUAAGGCCCUAUGGGUCGUAAACUUCUUUUGACGCAGAGCAAUAAGGACUACGCGUAGUCUGAUGAGAGUAUGCGUCGAAUAAGCAUCGGCUAACUCCGUGCCAGCAGCCGCGGUAAUACGGAGGAUGCAAGCGUUAUCCGGAUUUAUUGGGUUUAAAGGGUGCGUAGGCUGAAGAUCAAGUCAGCGGUGAAAUGUCCCGGCUCAACCGGGGCCUUGCCGUUGAAACUGGUCAUCUGGAAUGCGGAUGCCGUGGGAGGAAUGUGUGGUGUAGCGGUGAAAUGCAUAGAUAUCACACAGAACACCGAUUGCGAAGGCAUCUCACGAAUCCGCUAUUGACGCUGAGGCACGAAAGCGUGGGGAUCAAACAGGAUUAGAUACCCUGGUAGUCCACGCAGUAAACGAUGAUGACUAACUGCCGGCGAUAUAUAGUCGGUGGCCAAGCGAAAGCGAUAAGUCAUCCACCUGGGGAGUACGACCGCAAGGUUGAAACUCAAAGGAAUUGACGGGGGCCCGCACAAGCGGAGGAACAUGUGGUUUAAUUCGAUGAUACGCGAGGAACCUUACCCGGGCUCGAACGGCAGGUGAACGACACAGAGAUGUGAAGGUCCCUUGGGACGCCUGUCGAGGUGCUGCAUGGUUGUCGUCAGCUCGUGCCGUGAGGUGUCGGCUUAAGUGCCAUAACGAGCGCAACCCUUGCCGUCAGUUACCAUCAGAUAAAGCUGGGGACUCUGGCGGGACUGCCACCGCAAGGUGUGAGGAAGGGGGGGAUGACGUCAAAUCAGCACGGCCCUUACGUCCGGGGCGACACACGUGUUACAAUGGUGGGUACAGAGGGGUGCUACCUGGUGACAGGAUGCUGAACUCGAAAGCCCAUCUCAGUUCGGAUCGGAGUCUGCAACCCGACUCCGUGAAGCUGGAUUCGCUAGUAAUCGCGCAUCAGCCAUGGCGCGGUGAAUACGUUCCCGGGCCUUGUACACACCGCCCGUCAAGCCAUGAAAGUCUGGGGCGCCUGAAGUUCGUGACCGGAAGGAGCGACCUAGGGCGAAACAGAUAAUUGGGGCUAAGUCGUAACAAGGUAACC